AGUGAACGCUGGCGGUAGGCCUAACACAUGCAAGUCGAACGGCAGCACAGUAAGAGCUUGCUCUUACGGGUGGCGAGUGGCGGACGGGUGAGGAAUACAUCGGAAUCUACUUUUUCGUGGGGGAUAACGUAGGGAAACUUACGCUAAUACCGCAUACGACCUACGGGUGAAAGCAGGGGAUCUUCGGACCUUGCGCGAUUGAAUGAGCCGAUGUCGGAUUAGCUAGUUGGCGGGGUAAAGGCCCACCAAGGCGACGAUCCGUAGCUGGUCUGAGAGGAUGGUCGGCCACACGAGAGCUGAGGCACGGUCCAGACUCCUGCGGGAGGCAGCAGUGGGGAAUAUUGGGCAAUGGGGGCAAGCCUGAUACAGCCAUAGCGCGUGGGUGAAGAAGGCCUUCGGGUUGGAAAGCCCUUUUGUUGGGAAAGAAAAGCAGCAGGUUAAGACCCCGCUGUUCUGACGGUACCCAAAGAAUAAGCACCGGCUAACUUCGUG
rnacentral:rRNA from 1 species